ACGGAUAACUGGUCCAGUAGUGGGUACCUCGUAGGACCUCGACCCGCCUACUCGGGUCUUGUAUGGAUAUGUAGGAAGGGGUGCUCCUAGGUGUGUGUAGGGGGUGUAUUUGUUCGUGAGAAUGGAUUCCUCGUCAAGUCAGUUUGG